rfam:Pediococcus cellicola strain DSM 17757 Scaffold4, whole genome shotgun sequence.
GGAGGGUUAGCUCAGUUGGGAGAGCGUCUGCCUUACAAGCAGAGGGUCACAGGUUCGAGCCCUGUACUCUCCA